UCAAAGUCAUUUCCCUAUUUACAAAACAGCCCUAGACUAUAGUUUUAAGCCAAUUUACUUACUCUUAUACUUAUACUUCAGGUGUCAUAGAUAUCAAUUACAUGCUAAGUAACAAAUCUUGGAUGUAGAAACAACAAUUUACUUUUAUCUAUUUUUUCAUUGAUUUAUAUUAAAGUAUUGUUACGUUUUAAUAGAAUUUAGUUUUAAGCCAUGUCAUGGUAAUCUAACUCUUGUCCUUAAUUACUUUUUAUGAAAACAACUAUAUUGUACAUAACAUAGGGAAUCAUGUAAAUUAUAAAUCAACAUUAUUAAUUUAUAAUAGUUGCUAAUUGUUUAGCUUACUUGAAAAUUUUCCAAAUAGGGAAAAUAAAGUUAGCUUUUUUGUAUUUUUAUUUCCACUUUCUGUCAAGAAUUAGUAUUGUUUAAUAAACACUUGAUAUGAUGUGUAGGUUGUAGAUUUUGUCAAGAAACAUGUGGGCACAUAUACUCCUCUGCUUGCAGGAAAUUCAAUUUAUGUCGAUUUUCUUUUCUUUACCAUGUCUCUUUUCAUGUUCAUUUUGUUUGCCCCUGGUUUGCUUUUCUCUUUUCGGACCAUUUUACCCCUGGUUUGCCUUUCUUUUAUUGAAGAAUCUUGAAGUGAUCUGUGCUCUGUUUUGUUUGCCGCUGGUUUCAUAUUGUUUUGGAUUUAUAUGGUAAAAUUACAAAUUUGCCCUAAAUUUUGUAUUUUUAAUAGAAUUUUGAUAAGGGCCUGGGGGGGAUAAGAUGGUCAUUUUUCCAUGAUCUAGCAACAAUUUUUUUUUUUUUGAUAUGGUCAUCGUUUAGGGACCAUGGAAUUUACAUUUUUCCCUUAUGGUUUUUUGUUAGAGCAUAUCCAAUCCUGGUAAAAUUAUCAUUUUGCCCACAUUAAUGUAUUUUUUUUAAUAAACCACAAUGACAAAGUUUUGUAAUAUAUUUUUGGAAAUGGAUGCCAAAGUUGCAGCAAUAGAUGCCAAACAACAACAAAUUGAUGCAAAAUAUGAAGCAAUAGAGAAGAUGUAUACAACCUUGCAAAAUAUGAUGGGAAAUUGAAAAUUAGAGGAAUGAGAACCGAAGAUGAUUGGAUGGACAUGAAAUGAAGAGAGCAGCUAAAAUGUUAUUUUGAAGUUAUGUUUUGUCAAAACUCAUUUCCCGAUGCAUACUUUGGAUUUCUUGAUGCUAAAAUGUUAUUUUGAAGUUAAACCUUUAGGAGUUUGAUGUUAUAUGGAUAGUUUUGGUUUUGGAUGUUUUUUGAAUAAUACUUUGGUAAACUUUGAUAAUUUGUGUAUUGUAAUGUUUGGUUGUAUCGUUAUUUGAUGAUUUUUAGUAUAAAAAUUUGAUGAUUGUAGUA